GGCCCUGCAAAGGAAUCCUCGUUUUUGUCAAGCUACGACACAGUAUGCCACGAGGCAUGUCUACAACCCUCCAAAUCCUCUGAGGAGAAACGCAAGGCAGCUCCAGAACAGGAAUUGCAGAGGUCACCUGGAGCAGGCAUUGUCGGCUCUCCCAAGAAUGACCUAUAUGCAGAAAAUACAAGGAUACUACGUCAGGUGUUUAAUCCACUCUUUGCUGCAGAGGUCACCCAGUGCAGGGCUUGAUGUAUCUCCAAAGAUCUACAUCAGCGAAGAUUUCGAAUGGACGGACCUUG